CCUACGGGUGGCAGCAGUGGGGAAUAUUGGACAAUGGGCGAAAGCCUGAUCCAGCCAUGCCGCGUGUGUGAAGAAGGCCUUCGGGUUGUAAAGCACUUUCAGUGGGGAAGAAAGCCUUGGGGCUAAUACCCUCGAGGAAGGACAUCACCCACAGAAGAAGCACCGGCUAACUCCGUGCCAGCAGCCGCGGUAAUACGGAGGGUGCGAGCGUUAAUCGGAAUUACUGGGCGUAAAGCGCGCGUAGGCGGUCUGAUAAGCCGGUUGUGAAAGCCCCGGGCUCAACCUGGGAACGGCAUCCGGAACUGUCAGGCUAGAGUGCAGGGGAGGAAGGUAGAAUUCCCGGUGUAGCGGUGAAAUGCGUAGAGAUCGAGAGGAAUACCAGUGGCGAAGGCGGCCUUCUGGACUGACACUGACGCUGAGGUGCGAAAGCGUGGGUAGCAAACAGGAUUAGAUACCCUAGUAGU
rnacentral:rRNA from 1 species